CAGCAGCCACGGUAAUACGUAGGUGGCAAGCGUUGUCCGGAAUUAUUGGGCGUAAAGGGCUCGCAGGCGGUUUCUUAAGUCUGAUGUGAGAGCCCCCGGCUCAACCGGGGAGGGUCAUUGGAAACUGGGAAACUUGAGUGCAGAAGAGGAGAGUGGAAUUCCACGUGUAGCGGUGAAAUGCGUAGAGAUGUGGAGGGACACCAGUGGCGAAGGCGACUCUCUGGUCUGUAACUGACGCUGAGGAGCGAAAGCGUGGGGAGCGAACAGGAUUAGAUACCCCAGUAGUCCCUGUCUCUUAUAC
rnacentral:rRNA from 1 species